rnacentral:sRNA from 23 species
UUCAACAGUUACAGAAGAUGCAAAACUGUAAUUGGGAUUAAAAUGGAAACAUUUAUAAAAAAGAAUAAAUUGAAUAAUUCUUCCAAGUGAUUUACUUUUAGGCAAAAAAUUAGACCGUAGUUUCAAGCUAC